UUCCUGUCUUCUGAUGGCUAUUGCUCAUGCUAACCGUGGCUCAAGUGGAGGUUAGUUAUCAUUAAAAGUGUUGGUUUCUUUACAGUGUGACUGUAUUCCUACUCAAUAUGAAUUGAAUUCAAUUCAGUUUAUUUGAACUGGCGCCAAUUCACAACAAAUGUCAUCUAGAGGCAGUUUGCAAAAAAAAAAUAAUUCAGUCUCACGUAAUUAAAUUGUAUUUCUGCAGUGUUUUUUUUUUUUUUUUCAGAUUUAACCCGUCACUAAUUAGUAUCUAAUCAACUGAAUUUGACUGUAUUUUAUGAAGAUUUGGAUUGAAUUGGAUUUAAAUGGGUACAUUCGACCCUUCUCUCAAUGAUUGUUGAAUAAAGGGAUCAGGAUCUCAUUGUCCUGGUUAGUUGGGUUUUUAAACUUGGCUUGAGUUAACGUUGGUUUUGGUUGGUUAAACUGGAACAAGAUCAAUUGAAAUAUACAGAAGCUAAGAACGCAUGAUUUUCUGGAGAGAACAAGUUAAUCUUGAGAAAUUCAUUGGAAAAUUAAUUUCUCUUGAGAAAACCAUCUGGAAAAAGCAUAUGGGGAAAAUGUCCACUCUCUGCUCCCAUAGAAAUAAAUUUGAUUUCUAUUUUAUGGUAGCAGUCAGAAAUUAGCCUGUGUAGAACUAGCUAGGCAGAUAAGCUAGGCUACGCAUGGAUAGACAAAGUUCAGAAAAUAUAUAUUUAUUUAUGUUUUAGAUUAAACAUUAAAGCAGUAAUCAGUUUUAGAUACUUUUUAAAUAAAAAUAUGACUGUAUUAAGUUUAUUUUUAGAUUUAUAUUGCGCAAAAUCCAUUCAUGUUGUUUGUGACAUCAGCAGUUGACCGCUAACUGAGGAAUCCAGCCCUUCGAGAAACCAUGAUUUCCCCCAAAAUAAAUAAUAAAACUGUAUUCAAACAGCAUAUCUUAAACGUGUUAAUUUAGGUUAUACGUGACUUGUUUCAAUGAAAUAGUUUUUAUACACUUUUACUGCUCUAAUUUGAAGGAUACGCUACUACACAUCCGCCAUUUUGUGUAACUUUACGAGACGGACCGUUUACCAACAACAACGUUACUUUUACUUUUAUUACUGUUUUUUUUUGUUGUGGUUGUUUGUUUGUUUGUUACGUCAUGUGCUUGUUAUGUUGUGGGUUUUGUCACUUUUUGUGACAUGAACCGGCGGGGACACGUUGAGCCGCCCGGUUCGCCGGCGGGGAGUCCGGGCUGCCGGGGAGGGAGGGGAGCCAGCUGGCGCUCCGGAGGAAUCCAGGAAUGUUCCUGCUGCUUUACGCAACUUUCAAUGCAAGCCUGGAAACGAUUCAUUACAGCCUGAAUCACUGGCGCUGAACUGGAGCUUUGGACGUUUGGACGCUCAUUGCACGGCAGCUCGUGUUACCGCCGAAGCAUGCAGUACCUACCGCAGCCACCAGGGGGCCCCCAGCACCAAUUUAUUUGUUUUGUUUUUCAAAUAAAAUAAUAAUUUCU